AGCGUCAUCGGUGGAAACGGUUCCGAUACGGAUCAAAAGGGAACACGGUCAGCCAGACGAUCGGCAAAGCCGCGACUGCCCCCGCAACUGUAGCCGCCGAGCCUCUCUCCGAUAUGCCACUGGAUCGUAACGGUCCGGGAAGGCGGCGGGAGGCGACGACGCGGAAGUCAGGAGACCUGCCGUUCCAGUCACCCAUGC
rnacentral:ncRNA from 1 species